AUUGAACGCUGGCGGCAGGCCUAACACAUGCAAGUCGAGCGAGCGGCGGACGGGUGAGUAAUGUAUGGGAACCUGCCGGAUAGAGGGGGAUAACUACUGGAAACGGUAGCUAAUACCGCAUACUAUCCGAUGACCCGAGAGGGGAUUAGCUAGUAGGUGGGGUAAUGGCCUACCUAGGCGACGAUCCCUAGCGGGUCUGAGAGGAUGAUCAGCCACACUGGGACUGAGACACGGCCCAGACUCCUACGGGAGGCAGCAGUGGGGAAUAUUGCACAAUGGGCGCAAGCCUGAUGCAGCCAUGCCGCGUGUGUGAAGAAGGCCUUCGGGUUGUAAAGCACUUUCAGUCGGGAGGCGUUACCCACAGAAGAAGCACCGGCUAACUCCGUGCCAGCAGCCGCGGUAAUAC
rnacentral:rRNA from 1 species